rnacentral:rRNA from 1 species
AUUGAACGCUGGCGGCAUGCCUUACACAUGCAAGUCGAACGGUAACAGGUUAAGCUGACGAGUGGCGAACGGGUGAGUAAUAUAUCGGAACGUGCCCAGUCGUGGGGGAUAACGUAGCGAAAGUUACGCUAAUACCGCAUACGAUCUACGGAUGAAAGCGGGGGAUCGCCAGACCUCGCGCGAUUGGAGCGGCCGAUAUCAGAUUAGGUAGUUGGUGGGGUAAAGGCUCACCAAGCCAACGAUCGGUAGCUGGUCUGAGAGGCCGACCAGCCACACUGGAACUGAGACACGGUCCAGACUCCUACGGGAGGCAGCAGUGGGGAAUUUUGGACAAUGGACGCAAGUCUGAUCCAGCCAUUCCGCGUGCAGGAUGAAGGCCCUCGGGUUGUAAACUGCUUUUGUACGGAACGAAAAGGUUUCCAUUAAUACUGGGAGCUCAUGACGGUACCGUAAGAAUAAGCACCGGCUAACUACGUGCCAGCCGCCGCGGUAA